CUCUAUGCCACCGGCCCCAGGACGGACUCCUUCCUUUGCUUCCCAAGUACGUGAACGUCUCGCUGUGAAUCGCUCUGGGUGCCUCUCACAACCCGUGGCACGUCACAGCUCGUCGGCCGCGUUCCUUCUUCCUUCGUGGCAGAUACCAGGAUGGCUCAUUUGACAGCCAAGGGCGUCUCACAUCUUAUGAACUACGGCCACUCCAUCCCGACCACAGUCCGGUGAGCUCGGCCGUCAUUCCUGCCCUCAGAGGACUGAGGAGGACGUGAGCGGGAGGACGAGGCAGGAGCUGGGGGUGUGUCUCUAAGCGGCAUCACCUCCUACAGGCUGGACACUCACUACCUGGGCGUGACCAGAAGAAGGAGGAGGCUGGGCUCAUGGAGGCCUCGAGCAGAGGGUCUGCCCCGCCCCAGCUGCACAUGGCCUUGGAGAGAGCAGAGACGCUGUCACAGAGAGGAUGGAACCACCUAGAAAGGCAGAGAGGCCGGCAGGGAGAAAGGCUGCCUCAAGCCCCAACGUCCAUGGCUUCUCCUCAAGGCAGAGCGCACGCAGGCGAAGCUCUGGAGCAGCGGUCGCCAGCCGGUGGUCCAUGGGCCACUGGUGGUCCGUGAGGUCCGAAAGGUUGGCGACGGCUGCUCUGGAAAGUCUCCUCCGCAUCCCACGUGGAGGAGACAAAAGCCACGCAAACCCCACAGACGACACCCCUGUAACCGCCCGCCCAGCAGCGUGCGCCCCGGCCCCUGGGUUUUAUUCUAGAUGCUGACAGAGCGGGCGUCAGGGGGACGGGAGAUGUAUCUGGCCGGCGUGUCUGUGACCUGCGGCCCGCAGAGGCCAGCGCUAUACGGUACAGAUGCCUCGUCACGCGCAUGCGAACCACUUGCCCCUCCGACAGGCUUUUCCUUUCUGCAGUGGCGGAGACAUUAAACCACAUAUUAA